AUAAUGAUACUUCUGUCCAGCCACAACCUCAAGUAAUGGGGGCAGUUCUGUGAGAACCACAGAGAGGUGAGAUGCCUAUG
rnacentral:ncRNA from 1 species